rnacentral:rRNA from 1 species
UACAGAGGUCCCAAGCGUUGUUCGGAUUCAUUGGGCGUAAAGGGUGCGUAGGCGGCGCGGUAAGUCGGGUGUGAAAUCUCGGAGCUUAACUCCGAAACUGCAUUCGAUACUGCCGUGCUUGAGGACUGGAGAGGAGACUGGAAUUUACGGUGUAGCGGUGAAAUGCGUAGAGAUCAUGAGGAAGACCAGUGGCGAAGGCGGGUCUCUGGACAGUUCCUGACACUGAGGCACGAAGGCCAGGGAGCAAACGGG